rnacentral:rRNA from 1 species
UUUAAAGAGAGUUUGAUCCUGGCUCAGGACGAACGCUGGCGGCGUGCCUAAUACAUGCAAGUCGAACGAACGGAGGAAGAGCUUGCUCUUCCAAUGUUAGUGGCGGACGGGUGAGUAACACGUGGGCAACCUGCCUGUAAGUUGGGGAUAACUCCGGGAAACCGGGGCUAAUACCGAAUGAUAAAGUGUGGCGCAUGCCACGCUUUUGAAAGAUGGUUUCGGCUAUCGCUUAC